UCAAAAAAAAAAAGAAAUGGACCUAGUCGUACUACAACUUUUCCUAUCUUUGCGAACAACUAUAGAAACCUCCGCCUUGCUACGGCACCGGAUUAGGCGGUGUCGGAGGCGUCUCCCCUAGCCUCUAGUCCUCGUCUUUGUUUGCUCUCUGCUUCUGUUUCCUCUCCUCCGUCCGAGAUGCAGGGGGCUCUGGUUUCUUCCGACUUCACUUCUCCGGCGAUCUGCUCAUGAGGUUUCGUUCGGUUGUGGAGUUUGUCAGUAUUUGGAGUCCCGGCGAGGCGUGUAAGGUUGGUCAGUUCAGGGAGUCGGUUUUUAGGGUUUGAGGAUUGUCAGAUAUCGUUUUCUGUUUGGAGAUCUCCGGUGUUCCUCUCCGUUAGGCGGCGCGUGAAUCUGUUGAGGAUGUUCCUCUCACCGGCCUCGGUGUGUUAUGGCUCUAUCCGUCGUUUGAAGGGCUGGUGUAGGAGGUUGGUGGCGCGUGAGAAGUUCUGUCUCUUGGUGUCUUGCGACGGAUUCUCAUCCCGCCGUCGCAGGGUUUUAGUUCUUGGGCGGUAUCGUUUGGCGGGCGUGUAGCAGCAGCGAUAAAUCGUGGUAUAGGAGGUAGAGUUAACCGCGUAGCGGGCUAUGGGCAGCAGCAGCGGCAAUUUCCGAUCUUUGGCUUCUACAAAAGUUUAAAAUCUGCUAAUUAUCUUCUCAUUCGCUCUUGGGUUGCUUAGCCUUAUCUAGUAUUAGUGUCGGUUUUGGUCUUGUGGUACUGUAAGCUAUCUUGGUGUGGGUUUAAGUAGUCGCCCUUAUGUGGGGUUGUGUGGAAGGAGAUUGUUCAUUCAUCUCCGAGUUUAUGUUUUGAGUCACCCCCGUGUUGGUUCUUGUAGCCAUCUUCAUGCGGGCUCUUGUAUGUUUCUUUUAAAUGAAAUAAAUUACUUUUUUCGGGAAAAAAAAA